GUGAAUCAUCGAAUCUUUGAACGCACCUUGCGCUCCUCGGUAUUCCGUGGAGCAUGCCUGUUUGAGUGUCACGUUAACCCUCACCUCUGGGACGUAACAGUCUCCGACGGUGGAUUUGGACGCCUGCCGUAGAUGGCUCGUCCUGAAAUGCAUUAGCUGGUGCUUGUUAGGGGCGCUCGGCAUGGUGUGAUAAUUAUCUGCGCCGUCGCCUUAGGCCUCUUCCAUGUGUGCUGCUUAUAGCCGUCCCCCCUGCGGACAAUGACUGACCGUCAAAGCCCCUUGGCCUCAAAUCAGGUAGGACUACCCGCUGAACUUAAGCAUAUCAAUAAGCGGAGGA
rnacentral:misc_RNA from 1 species